CAGCAGCCACGGUAAUACGUAGGUCCCGAGCGUUGUCCGGAUUUAUUGGGCGUAAAGCGAGCGCAGGCGGUUAGAUAAGUCUGAAGUUAAAGGCUGUGGCUUAACCAUAGUACGCUUUGGAAACUGUUUAACUUGAGUGCAAGAGGGGAGAGUGGAAUUCCAUGUGUAGCGGUGAAAUGCGUAGAUAUAUGGAGGAACACCGGUGGCGAAAGCGGCUCUCUGGCUUGUAACUGACGCUGAGGCUCGAAAGCGUGGGGAGCAAACAGGAUUAGAUACCCCUGUAGUCCCUGUCUCUUAUACA
rnacentral:rRNA from 1 species